CCCUGUUCCACAACCAAACUGUAGGGAGGCAAGAGGACAGCUAACUGGUGGUCAUGAUACAGCCAGUACUUCUACUCCUGCUACUGGCACGCAGGUCCUCACCAGUGUUGGUGACUGAGGUAUCAGUACUGGAGGGAAGCUCUGUGACCCUUGUCUGUGGGUCCUCUGUGAAGGAUCGUGGGUAUUACACAUGCUGGGGCAGAAAUUGUGGUAACAGUUGGUGGUAUGGAUGUUAUUGUUCUAACCCCCUUGUGGAGAAGAAUGGAGUUAAAAUCACAUUCAAUGACCCUAAAAUGUACAGCCUCAGCGGGGAAGACCUCACCAUUUCCAACAUUCAGGACAGCAGAAAUUACUGCUGUUGUGUAGAUAGCAGCAAUUUCCCUUACAACGACCAUGUAACAUACUACAGUCUAAAGGUAGUAAAAGGCAAGUGUUGAUGACUCAUUGUUAUUGCUUGUUGCAUUUAUUCUCAUUAUGAGCAAAAUGGAGGUUUAGAGUAUUUACAUUGGCUACUAGAUACUGUACACCACACACUGUAACAUGCUGCAUUGUUGAUUGGACCUUUAAUGGCAUCCAUUGUCCAGGUAGUAUAGCUGAAUAUACCACUGAUACCUUUUGUCUCUCUAGUCCAGUCUUGUUCAUUCUGCGUUGUGUCCUUCUAUAGCCAGGUUUAGUGCUGGUAGUUAUGGUGCUGACCUGAGUUAUUUAAUAAAAAAAAAUAGGAAGUGGUUUCUGAUGUAAAAUGUCUUUGUUACACAGGUUGUGAGAGGAACCUAAUGAAUGGAGUGGACCUGAGGGUAUAUAAUAUGGAGAAAGCAUUCGUAGCCCAAGAUGCAAGUCAGUGCAGGCAGAAUUGCACCAAAAAUGUCAAUUGCCAGUACUUCACAUUUGUUGGGAAAGAAGCAAACAUUAACCAACUUAAGUACAUGCUCAAAAAGCUUUUUAAUUCUUUAUUUUAACUGUUCUUCUGCAAAUAAAGGCUUUAGAAACAUGCCUGUUAUUUUGGACAUUGCGUUAAUAAGUAACAUCCUUUGUGAUAUUUGUCCCACAGUGACAUGUGUUUUCUGAAGGUCUCAACUGGGGAUAGGCAUGUCACAAUACAGUACUUCCAACAUGCAACCUCAGGCUACUCUCUGAGAAACUGCAGUGGUAAAGUCACCUACUCAGCCAAAAAGUACAGCCUUGUCCUUAAGGAGAAAGACUGGACCGAUGCACAAGAGUACUGCAGACAGCACUACACAAACCUGUCCAUCAUUCACACAGAAGAGGAUUGGAGAACAAUUAAAUCCACUUUGGGUAAUUUCAGUGGUGAUGUGUGGAUUGGGCUCCAUAGAGAUAAGCCUGAUCCAGAUGAAAAGUGGAAGUGGUCUGAUGGAGAGGACUUCAUGUUCUUUAACUGGGCAUCACACUUUGGCGACUUCAAGGGUUAUGAGUGUGUCAUCUCCGCUUCAUCUCACUGGCAACCAGAGAAUUGUGCCGGUGAUAAGCAGUAUGUGUGUCAACAACUAGUUCAUAAUGGGAAUGGAAUAACAGAGAAGAAUUAUGAGCUGAUGAUUGGAAGUACAAAGUGGGAGUCAGCUCUGAAAAACUGCAUAACAAAAGGUAGAGUUUUGGCCAGUAUCUUUAACCAGAAAGAACAGGAUGCCUUUGAUGAGGUGGCUAAGCAUGACCACACCUGGAUUGGACUAAAGCAUGAGAACAACACAUGGAAUUGGUCCAGUGGGGAACCAUUUUAGAAAUGGAACAAUCCAGUGCAUGUGGGAGAUGGAAACUGUGUUAUGCUGAACUCAGAAAAUGACAGAAAAUGGACACCAACAAAUUGUUCUACUCAAAGUCUUUUCCUGUGCUAUGGGGAUGAAAGUCCACUUAACACCACUGGGGAUUUGACCACUCCUGUUACCCCUGAAAGCACCACCUCUACUUCAACUGGACCUGCGUCUACCAAGAUGUCCACCUCACCACCUACCACUACUAAUGGACAGUCCACCACCUCACUACCUACCACUACUAAUGGACAGUCCACCUCCACACCACCAACCUCAACUUCCUGUGGACAACUGACUUCAUCAGGUUCCUCCUCCCCAGACAGGGAUCCCACAUCCUCCCCCAGUAGUACAACUUCUCCACUCCAUCCUGAUGAUCUGCACUAAAUCAACGAGUCCAAGAGCUGGAUCAAUGCCCUGGAGUUCUGCAGAAGUCGUGGCUCCAAGUCCAACCUGGUGCACAUCACCAACCAGACCGUGCAGGCUGACGUGACCCAGCUCCUGGCCAAUGUGGAGCUGGCAUGUGGGGGGGUGUGGAUUGGUCUGGAGCGGUCCAUCUUUGAGUGGAACGCCCCCUGGCUGUGGACCAGUGGUGAUGUUGAUGAGGUGGUGAAGUUCAGUGAGUGGCACAGCUGCUUCCCCCUCAACCCCAUCAAUUACCACUGUGGUAAGAUGGUCCGGGUUGGUAACGGAGAACUGAAGUGGCUGGAUGCUUCCUGUCAUCAGGAAUUACCCUUCAUAUGUCAAGAUCUCCACUAGAGGGCUCUACAUGGCAGCCUGGACAGUCUGCAGACAGACACCACACUGAUCUACCAGAGAGACUACCACACUCAUGGUCUGGAAGGAACCUGCAUUUCAAUUCAUAAUAUUUUACACCAAUAUAACUAUUACUAUUAUUAGGACUUUUUACUGUCAUAUUUUACAUUAUAUUACUUAAUGAUACUGUACUUAAAUAGACUGACUCAUAAGCAUUGUUAUUUGACCUAUAAUUUACUGUAAUACUUUUAUUGUUUUAAAAUAGAGUAAAGAAAGGUAAAGUAAAGGGUAUUAACUGAAAAUGUAGCAUUUAACUCCUGUGUGAUAUGUACUGUUUCAGAACGCUAUUUAGUUAGAAUGUAAUUAUUGUUAUUUUGUAUUUCCUUUCAUCUCUGUUCUGAUUAAACAUCCAUUUAGAGUUUGAA